rnacentral:rRNA from 1 species
GACGUAGGGGGCCAGCGUUGUUCGGAAUUACUGGGUGUAAAGGGUUCGUAGGCGGUGUGGCAAGUCGGGAGUGAAAUCUCUGGGCUCAACUCAGAGACUGCUUCCGAAACUGCUGUGCUGGAGUGUGGGAGAGGCGCGUGGAAUUGCAGGUGUAGCGGUGAAAUGCGUAGAUAUCUGCAGGAACACCCGUGGCGAAAGCGGCGCGCUGGACCACUACUGACGCUGAGGAACGAAAGCUGGGGGAGCAAACAGG